GACAGAGGGUGCAAACGUUGUUCGGAAUUACUGGGCGUAAAGCGCGUGUAGGCUGCUUUGCAAGUCGGAUGUGAAAGCCCUGGGCUCAACCUAGGAAGUGCACUCGAAACUGCAAAGCUUGAGUCUCGGAGAGGAUCGCGGAAUUCUCGGUGUAGAGGUGAAAUUCGUAGAUAUCGAGAGGAACACCGGUGGCGAAGGCGGCGAUCUGGACGAUGACUGACGCUGAGACGCGAAAGCGUGGGGAGCAAACAGG
rnacentral:rRNA from 1 species